GGGGAAAUGGAGUCCCAGAGUCAUCUGUUAACUCAUAGCGAGACAAGCACUUCUCUAAACCGGGCCUUUACACUCCCCCCAGCCCAUAUACUUACUGAUAGAGGGAGGAGGAGAAAUAGUCGACGUAGCUUCCUGUGGGAGAGCAAAGAGGCUAGAGGAGUACUGCACGAGCAAAAUUAGGGGGGCACUCUGUAUGGCGUGCGAGAUUAGUGCUAGCUCCACGCGCUUUUCCCUAAUUCCUUCUUCAAACUGAAUCAUCUUCUACCGGACUCCUUUGAGGGGCACGCCCCUUUUUCGUUCGGGGUGAUUCCGUUAUCCCGUGGCCCCGCCCAUUCGAUUCCUACUUGAGUUGGCCUCGCCCAUUAGGCUGUAGGCCCGCCCCUCAACCCUCCACUGAUUUCUGUCCCUUGGCUUCAGCAACUCCACCAGGGUUCUUCCGGCCAGGUCCCGACCCAAGUGCUCACAACCUUGGCCACGCCUCGCUUCUUGGCCCCGCCCACCAACCAUCCGGGCCAGUCCCUCAGGUUUGGCUCCGCCCCCACCAGGAUCCCCACGCUGGGCCUAGCCCCUGCCUCAGCGUCUCCAAGACUCCCCGCCCCUCAAACCUCGCCCCGCCCAGGCUGGGCUGAAAAGUGGCUGAUCCGGUUUGUCCUGGGCGGGUCUGGAAGCGGAGCCGGCCGGCCGGAGGGAACGCCGGGGCCCGGGGCUACAGGAGGUUGCGGGGCCACGGCAGAAUGGUGGUGCCGGAGAAGGAGCAGAGCUGGAUCCCCAAGAUCUUCAAGAAGAAGACCUGCACGACGUUCAUAGUCGACUCCACAGAUCCGGGAGGGACCUGGUGCCAGUGUGGGCGCCCCCGGACCACCCACCCCGCUGUGGCCACAGAGGACGCCUUUGGGGCAGCCGUGGUGACCGUGUGGGACAGUGAUGUGCACACCACGGAGAAGCCCACAGACGCCUACGGAGAGCUGGACUUCAUGGGGACCAGCCGAAGGCACAGCCAUUUUCUCCGGCUCUCUGACCGAACGGAUCCAGCUACAGUUUAUAAUCUGGUCACACGCAUGUGGGGCUUCCGUGCCCCAAACCUAGUGGUGUCAGUGAUGGGGGGAUCAGGGGGCCCUGUCCUCCAGACCUGGCUGCAGGACCUGCUGCGUCGUGGGCUGGUGCGGGCUGCCCAGAGCACAGGGGCCUGGAUCGUCACUGGGGGCCUGCACACUGGCAUUGGCCGGCAUGUGGGCGUGGCUGUGCGCGACCAUCAGACGGCCAGCACUGGAGGCACCAAGGUGGUGGCCAUGGGCGUGGCCCCCUGGGGUGUGGUCCAGAAAAGAGACAUCCUCACCAACCCCAAGGGCUCGUUCCCCGCACAGUAUGAUUGGCGCCACGACCCGAAGGACGGGGUCCAGUUUCCCCUGGACUACAACUACUCGGCCUUCUUCCUGGUGGACGACGGCACGCAUGGCCGUCUGGGGGGCGAGAACCGCUUCCGCUUGCGCUUGGAGUCCUACAUCUCCCAGCAGAAGGCGGGUGUGGGGGGGACUGGAAUUGACAUCCCUGUCCUGCUCCUCCUGAUUGAUGGUGAUGAGAAGAUGUUGAUGCAAAUAGAGAAUGCCACCCAGGCCCAGCUCCCCUGUCUCCUGGUGGCUGGCUCUGGAGGGGCUGCAGACUGCCUGGCAGAGACCUUGGAAGACACUCUGGCCCUCGGGAGUGGGGGAGCCAGGCAAGGUGAAAUCCAAGAUCGAAUCCGGCGUUUCUUUCCCAAAGGGGACCCUGAGGUCCUGCGGGCCCAGGUGGAGAGGAUUAUGACCCGGAAGGAGCUCCUGACAGUCUAUUCUUCUGAGGAUGGGGCUGAGGAAUUCGAGACCAUAGUUUUGAAGGCCCUCGUGAAGGCCUGUGGAAGCUCAGAGGCCUCAGCUUACCUGGACGAGCUGCGUUUGGCUGUGGCUUGGAACCGCGUGGACAUUGCCCAGAGCGAACUCUUUCGGGGGGACAUCCAGUGGCGGUCCUUCCAUCUCGAGGCCUCCCUCAUGGACGCCCUGCUGAAUGACCGGCCGGAGUUCGUGCGCUUGCUCAUCUCCCAUGGCCUCAGCCUGGGCCACUUCCUGACCCCGACACGCCUGGCCCAACUCUAUAGCGCAGCGCCCCCCAACUCGCUCAUCCACAACCUUUUGGACCAGGCGUCCCACGGUGCAGGCACCAAAGCCCUAGCUCUAAAAGGGGAAGCUGUGGAGCCCCGGCUCCCUGAUGUGGGGCACGUGCUGAGGAUGCUUCUGGGGAAGAUGUGUGCACCGAGAUACCCCGCCAGGGGCACCGCGGAACCUCACCCAGGCCAGGGCUUCGAGGAGAGUAAGUUUCUACUCCAGGACAAGGCCCCCUCAAGGUCCUCGCUGGACGCUGGCCUUGGGCAGGCCUCCUGGGGUGACCUGCUCCUUUGGGCGCUGCUGCUGAACAGGGCACAGAUGGCCAUGUACUUCUGGGAGAAGGGUUCCAAUGCAGUUUCCUCUGCUCUUGGGGCCUGUUUGCUGCUCCGGGUGAUGGCACGCCUGGAGCCUGAUGCUGAGGAGGCAGCGCGGAGGAAAGACCUGGCAAUCAAGUUUGAGGGGAUGGGCGUUGACCUCUAUGGUAAGUGCUAUCACAGCAGUGAGGUAAGGGCUGCCCGCCUCCUCUUCCGUCGCUGCCCGCUCUGGGGGGAUGCCACUUGCCUCCAGCUGGCCAUGCAAGCUGAUGCCCGUGCCUUCCUUGCCCAGGAUGGAGUACAGUCUCUGCUGACACAGAAGUGGUGGGGAGACAUAGACAUCACCACACCCAUCUGGGCCCUGAUUCUCGCCUUCUUUUGCCCCCCACUCAUCUAUACCCACCUCAUCACCUUCAGGAAAUCAGAAGAGGAGCCCAUACAGGAGGAUCUGGAGUCUGACCUGGACAGUGCUGCUAAUGGGGAAGGGCCUGUCAGGCUGGAGGACCCCGCGGAGAGGACGUCACUGGGGGUCGCACGCCAGCCGGGCCGCCGGGGCUGCUGCGUGGGGCACGGGUUCCUGCGCCGCUGGGUGCAAUUCUGGUGCGCUCCGGUGACGGUCUUCAUGGGCAACGUGGUCAGCUACCUGCUGUUCCUGCUGCUGUUUGCGCGGGUGCUGCUCGUGGACUUCCAGCCCUCGCCGCCCGGCGGCCUGGAGCUGCUGCUCUACUUCUGGGCUUUCACGCUGCUGUGCGAGGAGCUGCGCCAGGGCCUGAGCGGGGGCUGGGGCAGCCUGGCCAGUGGGGGCCCCGGGCCUGGUCAUGCCUCGCUGCGCCAGCGCCUGCAGCUCUACCUCGCCGACAGCUGGAACCAGUGCGACCUAGUGGCCCUCACCUGCUUCCUCCUGGGCGUAGGCUGCCGGCUGACCCCAGGUUUGUACGACCUGGGCCGCGCUGUCUUCUGCCUCGACUUCAUGGUUUUCACGCUGCGGCUGCUGCACAUCUUCACAGUCAACAAACAGCUGGGGCCCAAGAUCGUCAUCGUGAACAAGAUGGUGAAGGAUGUGUUCUUCUUUCUCUUCUUCCUCGGCGUGUGGUUAGUGGCCUAUGGCGUGGCCACGGAGGGGCUCCUAAGGCCCCAGGACAGUGACCUCCCAAGUAUCCUGCGCCGUGUCUUCUACCGUCCCUACCUGCAGAUCUUCGGGCAGAUCCCCCAGGAAGACAUGGACGUGGCCCUCAUGGAGCACAGCAACUGCUCAUCAGAGCCCGGCUUCUGGGCGCACCCUUCCGGGACCCAGGCGGGCACCUGCGUCUCCCAGUAUGCCAACUGGCUGGUGGUGCUGCUCCUCGUCAUCUUCCUGCUUGUGGCCAACAUCCUGCUGGUCAACCUGCUCAUCGCCAUGUUCAGCUACACGUUCGGCAAAGUACAGGGCAACAGCGACCUCUACUGGAAGUCGCAACGCUACCGCCUCAUCCGGGAAUUCCACUCUCGGCCCGCGCUGGCCCCGCCCCUUAUCAUCAUCUCCCACUCGCGCCUCCUGCUCAGGAAAUUGUGCCGGAGCUCCCGGAGCACCCAGGCGGUCAUCGGGGAUUUCCGAGUCCCUCUUUCUAAGGAAGCCGAGCGGAAGCUGCUGACUUGGGAAUCGGUGCAAAAGGAGAACUUCCUGCUGGCACGCGCUCGGGACAAGCGGGACAGCGACUCCGAGCGUCUGAAGCGCACGUCGCAGAAGUCCAGCACUGUAGCCGCGUCCUGGGGUGGAUGGCCGAGGCCCUGAGCCGCUCUGCCUUGCUGCCCCCAGGAGGGCCGCCACCCCCCGAUCUGCCUGGGCCCAAAGACUGAGCCCUGCUGGCGGACUUCAAGGAGAAGCCCGCUCUAGGGUUUUGCUCCCAGAGUAAGGCUCAUCUGGGCCUCCGCCCCUGCACCUGGUGGCCUUGUACUUGAGGUGAGCCCCGCGCCCAUCUGGGCCGCUGUCGGGACCACCUUUGGGAGUGUCAUCCAUACCAACCACAGCAUGCAGCUCCUCCCAGAACCAGCCGAAGCCUGGGAGGAGGAAGUCCUGGAGACCCGGCUGUAGUCCAGGGACAGGCUGGAGGGUCCUUGGGGUAACGGGGACCACAGACCCCACUCGCAGAUUCCUCACACUGGGGAAAUAAAGCCAUCUGAUGGGAA